rnacentral:misc_RNA from 1 species
AACUAAAGCGAAUUUGUWACAGUUUCUGUACUUCAUUGGUAUGCGAAGCUCCCACAACCGUUACCAUGCGGCGGUGGUUUGGUUUGGUCCGCGAGGACCGGGUCCACGGACCC